CAGGGGGAACCUGAAGGAGCGACGCCGCGUGGAGGAUGAAGGUCUUCGGAUUGUAAACUCCUGUCAUGAGGGAGUAAGACACAGCGUUAACUGCGUAUGUGUUUGAUAGUACCUCAAGAGGAAGAGACGGCUAACUCUGUGCCAGCAGCCGCGGUAAUACAGAGGUCUCAAGCGUUGUUCGGAUUCAUUGGGCGUAAAGGGUGCGUAGGUGGCAAGGCAAGUCAGAUGUUAAAUCCCCGGGCUCAACCUGGGAACUGCAUUUGAUACUGCCGUGCUCGAGUGCUGGAGGGGAAACUGGAAUUCACGGUGUAGCAGUGAAAUGCGUAGAUAUCGUGAGGAAGACCGGUGGCGAAGGCGAGUCUCUGGACAGCAACUGACACUGAGGCACGAAGGCUAGGGGAGCAAACGGGAUUAGAUACCCCGGUAGUCCUAGCAGUAAACGGUGCGCGUUUGGUAUGGGGGGAUCGACCCCUUCCGUGCCGGAGCUAACGCGUUAAACGCGCCGCCUGGGGAGUACGGUCGCAAGAUUAAAACUCAAAGAAAUUGACGGGGGCCCGCACAAGCGGUGGAGUAUGUGGCUUAAUUCGAUGCAACGCGAAGAACCUUUACUAGGCUUGACAUGCAUCUCUAAGUUGGUGAAA
rnacentral:rRNA from 1 species